rnacentral:ribozyme from 1 species
UGCCCUGCAACUCCUAUCCCUACCUCCUCGUGGUACUGGCCGGGGUACGAGUAACCUUAGGGAAGAUCGGGUAACCAACCCCCGGUGGGAACUUUGGUCGUAUGCUGACAGGGAAGG